CAAUAGCGAAGAGUUAGGGAGUCUUUGCAGCGUGUAGAUGGUGCAGAUAUCAUUGCCAGAAUAAUCCAGCUUCGUUGCAUUGCUUGUCAAAAAUACUCUGUUCCUGCUCCCCUGUCUCUCGUCCACAUUGAUACAAAUCAUAAAUUGAUAAGAUACAACAUUGUCAUCUUUGGCGGUAUAGAUGGAUUUUCAAGGAAGAGUGAGAGCUAAUGAAGGGGUCGAAAAUGUAGAUAUUGCCAGAUGUUCACUGUCCGAGGAACAGGCCAUGGAAGCUUUAUUGCUGGCAAAAGUGUCCAUAACCAGAGAGGCAAACCUAACACCUCACCAGCUGUGGCAUAUCGGAAUGCUCCAAACACCUGUGCACAUUUUUGUUUUUGCCACUACACAUCUGAUUCAACUGAUCAAGUCAUCAUCAAGCAUCAUGUGGUUAAUAUCAGCUGUGUUGGUGAACCCCUCCCGCAUCUGAACUGGCUGACACAGAGGGCACAGUGUGAUCAUAGGUGAGAGGUCACUUGGUCGGGUCAACAGGAAGUAUUAUUAACCUCUAUGGGCUAGGUGGGACGCAAGCGUCCCACCCGUGGUGCACUCCAUCAACAGCAGGUGCAUUUCAAGAGCGGCAAAUUUGAAUCCAAAUAAAUGUCAAAAUUCAAAUUUUUCAAACAUACAACUAUUUUACACCCUUUGAAAGAUAAACAUAUCCUUAAUCUAACCACGUUUUACGAUUUCAAAAAG
rnacentral:lncRNA from 1 species